AAUAAGUUUUUGUGCCCCUCACCUUUGAAUCCAGCACUGAAGAAGUCAAAGCCUGGCUGGAGGCCAAGUCAUUCAGCAAAGAGACCGUGGAACACCUGGGCAUCCUCACCGGAGCUCAGCUCUUCUCCCUCAACAGAGAGGAGCUGAAGAAGGUGUGUGGUGAUGAGGGAAACAGAGUGUACAGCAAGAUCACGGUGAAGAAAAACCAGCUGGAGAAAAGCAGAGGGGAGUCAGAGCUCCAAGAAAUCAUGAAGCGCCGCCAGGAAAGGAUUGAUUCUGCUAAUUAAAGUCUCUCUGCUUUAUUUCAGCUCUUAGCCCUAAGUAGUGCAGCAAAAAAGGGAAUGAAAGCAAUUAUUCCCGGCCCAGGCCGGAGGCAGCAGAGCUCCCCUUGGGGUCCAGCUGCCAUCAGAGUGACAAUUCCUUGAACACUGUUGGGAAGGGUUGACAAUGAUACCAUAUCCCGCUGGGAAAGGUGUUUUAAUUUUGCAUGAAGUAUUUUUUUUAUAACUAUAUAUUUUAUACUGAAAUUUUCCAUGCAUGCAAUCAGAGCAGGAUUCACACGGGGCUGGAUGUACGACAAGGCUGCAUUCAAAGACCCCCAAAGUUUUCUCUGAGGGCUGUCCCUGCUCCCACCCCUCGCUGGCAGAGCAGGCGUGGCACACAGUCAGGAGAGGCCAGCCCCAAGGCCUGGAGCCUGCCCCACAGGAAUAAGGCUUUGGAGCCCUGCAGGGGUUUGGGUUUAAGGAAAGGACAUUGAAGCUCAUCCUGUUCCAUCCCCCAUCGUGGGCAGGGACGCCUUUCACAAGGCCGAGUUGUUCAAAUCCUGUCCAGCCUGGCCUUGGGCACUUCAGGGAUGGGGAGUGACCUAAGGCAGCCCCAUUUCCAUUUCCUCCUCAGUGCAGGUGUCCCCUGCAGCCCAAGAGCACAGGCCCGGUGACAACUCCCUGUCCCCUCCUGUCCCCCUGUGUCCCCUCAUUGGACAAGGCUGGAAUGGCAACACGCAUUCCCAAAGUCUGGCUGCUUCCUUAAAUCCACAGACCAGUUAGUGCUGUCUCUGAGCAGCUGAAAUGAGCUCUCAGGGCCUAGAAAUGAGCAGGAGUGACACACAAAGGGAUCUGAAUGUGGACAUGGGUGAGUUCCACCUGCCCACUGCUGCUGAUGGGCUCAGGGCAGCUGUGCAGCCCUUCCCUGGGCCGCUGAUCCUGCACUGGAAUGUUGUGGUGCUGCCAAACCCGGCCUCAGACCAGGAGAAGAUAAGCCCUGGCCAUUUGCUCCCAUCCCAGGCACACCCACAGCCCUUCCCAGGGUGUUGGUCACUCAUCCCCACCUUCACGUUUCCACUGUAAAAAGUCAGCUGAAAUGAUUCCCAAAUAGCUGAAACCCUAAAGCAUGCUGGGAAAGGCAGGUUUAACUCCAAAUAAAUGGGCACAAGAAAAACAAAAAUCUAAUUUAACACAGGAUGUUGCUUUUGACUUCCUGUUGUCCUUCAUGAAGUUAUGUGCAUUUGUAUAUAACAAUCUGUAAAUAGGGGGUGAGGAAAAUCUCUCUCCCUAGAGGCAGAUAUAGUGAUUAUACUUCCAAAAUUUACUCACAAUUUCAAAACUCAAGCAAGCAGCAUAGUUCCUGUCCACAGCAAGUUUGGCACAUUGCUUUUCUAUCUCUAUAAGUGACAGACCAACCUGAUUGCAAAGCAGUGAAGCAAACACAGCUCCAGAGCUGCCACAGCCAGGGACAGUUGGGUUUUCUCUCUCAGCACGUGCUGAGUCUUUGCCCAAAUUUGUGUCUGUCCUUGCACAUUUAAUGGAAAAAGCUUUAACACAGCGUCUGGGGAACUCGUGUCUAAAUCUGAGAGCACCAGUGCACCUCAGUUUUGGCUUUAUUCUUAAGUGUCUCCAAUGGAUAAUCUGUUUUCUUCAUUUGAAAGAGGACACUGCUGGCACCAGCAGAAUUAGGGUGCAGGCAGGGGGGGAUCCUGGGUUUAGUCACAGCCUUGCUGGGAUCUGAGAAGGGCACUCACCUUGUCAGGGAGGGAUGAAGAGGACAAUCCUCCUGAGAAGCCCUGGCUCUGGAUUAGGUUGGAGAAGGGAAGCAGGAUGGCAAGCACAGGAGGUGAAAAAUUUCUACAAUGAAAAUAAAAACAAAUGUUGAGCUAGGAAACACCCCACCUUUUAGUCCUGGGGUGUAGAGGAAAGCAAAUCACAGGGAAUUACAGUUACCUGGGAUUUCAACAGGAGUGUACAUGACAGCUCUGUAAAGCUGGGAGCCACAGCAGCACUUCCUAAAACAGAUAUCUCAGCAGACCUUAUUGCAGAGGUCACUUUUACAAAUUUCAUGCGACUGAGCUGUGCACCUGAUCUGUUUGUACUGCCUGCAGACACUGCUAUAAAGUACUGUACGUGAUGUAACUGAGCGAAGGAGACAAUGAUAUAACCAUGCACUGUACAAGAGUUAUUAAAAUAGUUAAGUUAUACUUAUAAA